CCCUUCACCAAACCCUCCUCGCAGCGCCGCCGCCGCCACGCCCUCCCAGAUCCCAGAUCCCAUCUCCUCUCUUCCGCAUCCUCCACCCCACCCCCAUCCUUAUCGCCGCGCCCCGCGCCUGAGCGCCUCCCGGCAGCCGCCGCGCCCGUUUCCCCCAGACCCCGUCGUCGACGACGCCGACUGCCUUCCGCGGCUUCCCCCGUCCUCGAGCCCUCCACCUCAGUCGAGCCGCGUCUCCUUCUGCUGGAUCUCGUCCGGAUGACGGGCGCCGUCUGUUGGGGAGCCCGGCGGCUCUGUGGUGUUCAAGCAGGAACCUCAUGCUACCGGCAGCAUGUUGCGCUUGCUUGAACAUCCCAGAGCCACCGGCGUGCCAAAAUUCACGCAGAAGGAGACCCCUCGAGGAGAGAUCCGCCAAGCUGGAGUACCUGAACGUCUUCUUCAAGUACUCCACUUUUUUUUCUCGCGGAGAAAAAGGUGGAAUACUUGAAGAAGAUUUUCAGGUCGUCCAUUAGAAAGCUCACCAUAUUACCCCCAAGAUCUUGCUGCAUCCCGCAGAGGUUUGAAGAUUACAUAUGGAGGUUGGUAGCACAACUCUUUAAGUCGAAGUGUGAUUCAUUUGAAGCUGUUGCGCCCAUGGUAAUUACUUAUAUCUGUAUCGCACUGACCAGUGGACAUCUUGUUACCCUUGCCUGUUUGAGACAUGCCUCUAUCAGUUUGGUAUUUGUGCUUAUGCCAGUACUUGCUGUAGAUUCUCCCUAACUGAAUGGUUUGUUCACUUUAUUUUUUAUUCUGAUUUGAUAUCCGUUUCUCAUUUUUUACAUGUUCUUUCUGUUUGCAUCAUCAGCUGGUUAGGAAGUUUUGAGCGGUGAUGACAUUUAUGUGGACUAGAGUUUCUGAUACUGCCUCUUCAGCAGUACUUUUGAAGACAAACCCUUGGCUGUCUGAGCUCCCCCCAUUGCAUUUAUAUCUUUUGAUUAGUUCAUGUAUUCUUUUGUUUAUUACCAAUUCUCAGGAUGAUUUAUCAAUUCUUAUGGUGUAAUUGCUUGGACUUUUGGUUGUUGUGUUGUGAUCUUUUUGGUGUUUUUCAUUGGGCCUGAUGCCAUGUCUCAGGUAGCUACGGCUUUGACCGGAGAUCCUACAUUGUGCCAUUAGAGAGAUGUUGGACGUUUCACAUUUGAUAGGAACCUGUGGACAUGAUUUAGUCGGUACACAGAACCGUUUUUUGUGAUUACACUGCUGAUUUUAAAUUGGAGGAAAUCAAUGGCGAUGAUGAUAAAACAUAGGCUUGUUUCUCAAAACAUUCGCAGUUGCCGCCUAAGAGCUUUCGCCCCGCCAGGCUUGAGAGCUAAUGCUGCUAAUUCCUUCCUUGGAUGUCUGAGCCAUGUUGAUUUUACUCAUUUGAAUAUUUUUGUCUCUGCUUUAUCUUCUUGAUUUAACAGGAUAUUAUGUUAUUGUACUUGCUUUGCAUACUUUGCUUAUCUUUAAUUGGGUAAAAUCAAUGGCGAUGAUGAUAAAAUUUAGGCUUGUUUCUUGAAACAUUCGCAGUUGCCGCCUAAGAGCUUUCGCCCUGCCAGGCUUGAGAGCUAAUGCUGCUAAUUCCUUCCUUGGAUGUCUGAGCCAUGCUGAUUUUACUCAUUUUAAUAUUUUCUGUCUCUGUUUUAUCUUCCUGGUUUAAGAGGAUGUGUUUGUGAUUAUACUUGCUUUGCAAACUUACCAUAAUAUAUUUUCACUGUACUUAUUUGGAAUUGGGGGAAAUCAAUGGUGAUGAUGAUAAAACUUAGGCUUGUUUCUCAAAACAUUUGCAGUUGCCGCCUAAGAGCUUUCGCCCCGCCAGGCUUGAGAGCUAAUGCUGCUAAUUCCUUCCUUGGAUGUCUGAGCCAUGUUAAUUUACCUGAUUUAAUGUUUUUUUUGGCGUCUGACUUCAUGAUACUGGUUUUGAUCUGAUAUUUAUGUUUUGAGGUUCAUAUGGCAUUUUGAGAUAUUUCAGCCUCUUUGGAAUGUUGGAUUCUGAAACGUAUGAUAAAGCUAAGUCUUGUUUUCAAAACAUUCACAGUUUCUACCUAAGUAUGUUUCAAAACGCUCAUUGGUGUUAACAUGAUUUGUGUUGCAUCCUUUAGUAUCUUCAUUGAAGAGAACCAGAGGUUUGUUUGUUUUUCAGGAGGACGGUGAAGAUUGAUAUUUGGUCUCGUUCGUCGUAAUUGGCAUUUUUUUUGCCUUGCCGACCAUACUGCUAUAUCACCACCCAUAUUCUGAGUCCUCCAGUUACAUGUUUUCCUUUUGGUUUCGAUUCAUAUCCAUUUUGUUUGAUGUUUGGUGGCUGAUGAUUAGGAAACUAAAGUACUCCCUCCGUUCGCAAAUAUAAGUCUUUCUAGAGAUUCCAACAAGUGACUACAUAAGCAAAAUGAGUGAAUCUACACUCUAAAAUAUGUCUACAUACAUCCGACCGAGGGAGUAUAGAAAAAGAAUUGUCUCAUUUCUUAUCUGUGUAUAAGACCAAUGAUCCAUAUUUUUAUGUUGUUUUAAAAGUGUUCUUACCUAUGAUGAGUUGCGAACUGUAUUGCCUACAUUGUUUGAACAAUCUGUGAGAAGCUUAUGCAGCGUCUGAGGAUGAAUAAGAAAAGGAACAAAAUCUUUCAAAAUGGAUCAACUUUUUUUAAUUGCUAUUUUAUUUUUCGUUUUGGUAAUGCCGGAUUAUGAUUACUAUUUUUAUACUACUAAAUUAGUUUCUCCAAAAUGAUUUAUUCGAUAAAGUGGCCCGACAAAUUCGCCAUUGUAGCAUUCUUGCUUUACCUUCUGCUGGUCCAUGUGUUGUCAUGUCUCUUUGACUUUGAGCCAGUGGCUGGUCUGCAUACCAAACUUUCUGAAUUUGAUUCUGGCCUGCAGGUCGAUCUUGUCCUUCCACUUCUUGUCUGAGAGCUGUAAUUUUCUUUUUGUGUUUGUUUUACAACGCUGGAGUGUAUUACCAGGUGACUGGAACAAUCAAACAUGUGUGUAAGGAAACGGAUCACAAUUUUUUCAUUGUCUUUGCUAUUAUUUUGGCUUUUACCACAUAUGCAUCCGGGAGGAGAAACUUCGUGCAGUCAAGGAUACUUUGCUAAGUCUUGGGCCGGUUUGGCACCGCCCGCGCAGCCACGUGAUUGGCCCACCCCACCGUUGUUUCACCCUAUCCUCCUAUAAGCAUCUUCCUCCUCUCGCAACACCAUUCUGCUCUCUCCUCUUUACCUCCACUCCUCCCCAUGUGAGAGAUGGCCAUGGUGAUUCCUUCCGACUGCCUACAUAGACGGUGACGAGGGGUGCUGCCGCAACCACUACGGCCACAUGUUGUAACCAAUCGAUGAAGAGCUCAAUUCUCAAGUAGUCGUGCUCAAAUCUUCUCAGCGAGGAGCACAUUACUAUGAAUAAUGACGGAGAGGGACAUUAAAGGGGAAAACUGAGCAAAGAGAUGUAAAAAUAUAUUAUAAAAGUUUUUCACUUCUA